GAACCACUUCGUGUGGGGAUUAGUGGCGAACGGGUGAGUAACACGUGGGCAAUCUGCCCUGCACUCUGGGACAAGCCCUGGAAACGGGGUCUAAUACCGGAUACUGAUCGCCUUGGGCAUCCUUGGUGAUCGAAAGCUCCGGCGGUGCAGGAUGAGCCCGCGGCCUAUCAGCUUGUUGGUGAGGUAAUGGCUCACCAAGGCGACGACGGGUAGCCGGCCUGAGAGGGCGACCGGCCACACUGGGACUGAGACACGGCCCAGACUCCUACGGGAGGCAGCAGUGGGGAAUAUUGCACAAUGGGCGAAAGCCUGAUGCAGCGACGCCGCGUGAGGGAUGACGGCCUUCGGGUUGUAAACCUCUUUCAGCAGGGAAGAAGCGAAAGUGACGGUACCUGCAGAAGAAGCGCCGGCUAACUACGUGCCAGCAGCCGCGGUAAUACGUAGGGCGCGAGCGUUGUCCGGAAUUAUUGGGCGUAAAGAGCUCGUAGGCGGCUUGUCGCGUCGGUUGUGAAAGCCCGGGGCUUAACCCCGGGUCUGCAGUCGAUACGGGCAGGCUAGAGUUCGGUAGGGGAGAUCGGAAUUCCUGGUGUAGCGGUGAAAUGCGCAGAUAUCAGGAGGAACACCGGUGGCGAAGGCGGAUCUCUGGGCCGAUACUGACGCUGAGGAGCGAAAGCGUGGGGAGCGAACAGGAUUAGAUACCCUGGUAGUCCACGCCGUAAACGGUGGGCACUAGGUGUGGGCGACAUUCCACGUCGUCCGUGCCGCAGCUAACGCAUUAAGUGCCCCGCCUGGGGAGUACG
rnacentral:rRNA from 1 species